rnacentral:rRNA from 1 species
UACGUAGGGAGCAAGCGUUGUCCGGAAUCAUUGGGCGUAAAGCGCGCGUAGGUGGCUUCGUAAGUCCGUUGUGAAAGUCAAAGGCUCAACCUUUGAAAGCCGAUGGAUACUGUGAAGCUAGAGUACGGAAGAGGCGAGUGGAAUUCCUGGUGUAGCGGUGGAAUGCGCAGAUAUCAGGAGGAACACCAAUAGCGAAGGCAGCUCGCUGGGACGUUACUGACCACUGAGGC